GUUUUUGUUUUUUUUGUUUUUUUUGUUUUUUAUGAAAGGAUGUUGUAGUGUGGCGUGCUGAAAGGCUUUAUGGAAGAGAGACAGAAGGCAGGGGAGACGGGACAUUCCAAAGAGUUACAUAUGGGCUUGGCUCUUCCACUUACUGUGGAUGAACUUGAGCACAUUAUUUAAACUCACUGAGUUGUUUUUUUUUUCCCCAUUCAUGUAUUGGGAUGAUCACAUCUACUUUACAGAGAUGUUUUAAGAACUAAAUGAGGUGAUAUAUUUAAGCCCCCCAUACAUAUGCCUGGUACCCAAACAGUGCUUAGUAAGUAAGCACCCUCUCCUUCCUUCUCUUUCUCUUCUGGGAAGAGUAGACAGAGAAACAGAGUUCUCGCUGAAACAUGGAGUCCUGGCCACACGACAGGAUAAAUUUCCUUGGGAGAACUGAACAUACUACAGGAAGUGCUCAAGAAGGCUAUUUCUCUGGUGGAAGGGGAGACAAGAUAAACCUCUAAAAUCCCUUUCUACUUUAAGAUUCUCUCACCUUCAGGACCUAAGUACUAAGGAUAUGGUCAAGAGCCUGAGAUUCUACUGGAACUUCCCAGCAAACUUACGUGGAAGUCUCCGGGAGGUGACGUGGCUGGAGUUCUGCCCGAUUCCAGUGUCAAUGCACCCAUGCACUGUCUACAUCGCCUCAGAGACAGGGAAGCCGGAAGAAGACCUGGGACUAUCUUUGCGCGCCCUCAGCUAGCACAUGGUGAGCAUUCAAGUACAGAGGCUGAACUGCAUAUUUUUGUGGGCGUAAACUCUGCCCUCUGUGUCUGAGGCAUCAUGUGAUAUGGCAGUGGGGAUGUGGAGCUGUGGUACUCAAACUCAGGAGCCAGUAAGUCACCUGAGGAGACCUGUUGAAACACAGAUUCUGGAGCCCUACCUCCAGAGCGCCUGAUUCAGUGGUGCCCAGGAAGCAUUCUCAUCAAGACCCUCAGUUCGUUCUGACACAAAUAAAUCACAAAGCAUAUGGAUGUUAGUGAUAAGAUCACAGCCAUGCCAGGCUGAGGUUCAGUUCGCCUGCAGUCUGAUGGGAGCUGUUCCCAAACAGAUCCCCACUCAGAUUUACGAUUCCUUUUCCUUAUAGAAAGGAGGAAGCCGGUGGUGUGCUAGUAAAUGUCUUAACUGGCUCUCUUCAGAAGGAAUAAAAACAAACAAACAAAAACCCUGAUUUAUAGCAUUUUCCAAUAUCCACAGUGUAAAUACUCAUACCAUCGAUGAUGUCAAGCUACCAAAGGGAUCUCACUGAAAACUGAGUUGGGAGGGGACAUGUGGCAUUGUCCCUAUGGCAACCGCCAGAGGAAGCCCAGGUAGGGGAGGGGACUUACUUCCCUGGGCCUCAGUUUCCCCACUAAUAAAAUGAGAAUGCACUAAGGGC